CAUUAUUAUUUCUUCACUUUCGGUGAUCCGCGUCUCAAGUCGGCAGCUCGCAGAGUCUCUUGAUCCUGGUUUCCUCACCCUAGGGUUAGGGUUUGGUCCCUCUUCAAUUAACUUCAAUAUCUGCGAGAGAGCGUGAGAGUGACGCGCCUCCCGAGAGACGCCAUGGGAGGUGACAGUGCCAUUGAGGAAUCCGAAGGGGUCAACGUCAACAUCAACGUUCGCUGCUCCAACGGUUUCAAGUUUUCCGUUCAGAUUGCCGUCGAUUCCACCGUUAGUUCCUUCAAGGACGUUGUCGCUCGCAACUGCGACAUCCCUGCCGAACAACAGCGCCUCAUUUACAAGGGUCGCAUCUUGAAGGAUGAUCAAACCCUACGAAGCUACGGUUUGGAGGCAGAUCACACUGUCCAUUUGGUUCGUGGCUCUGCUCCUGCCAAUCCAACUGGUGGGACCAAUACUAGUAGCACCAAUACCAAUACCACAACAAAUAAUGCUAGAGGUGCUGGUGCCAAUGAAGGUGGGGGCUUAGGAGGGCUUGGUUUUGGAGCUUCACUAUUCCCUGGGCUAGGUGUCAAUGGGACUGGGGGCAAUGGUUUAUUUGGUGAGGGAUUUCCUGAUCUUGAACAGAUGCAGCAACCCUUUAUUUCUAAUCCCAAUUUAGUGAGAGAAAUAAUGAAUUCACCCACCAUGCAGAAUCUAAUGAAUAAUCCUGAAAUAGUACGGAAUCUUAUAAUGAAUAAUCCGCAGAUGCAAGAGCUCAUGGAUCGAAACCCUGAGCUAGCACACAUACUUAAUGAUCCCAGCACUCUCCGCCAGACCCUUGAAGCUACAAGGAACCCUGAGAUCAUGCGUGAAAUGAUGAGAAAUACAGACAGAGCAAUGAGCAACAUUGAAUCUUCUCCCGAGGGAUUCAACAUGCUGAGGCGCAUGUAUGAAAAUAUUCAAGAACCAUUUUUGAAUGCCACUACGAUGGCUGGUAAUACAGGAAAUAAUAAUGCAGCAGUUUCAGGGACUCAUGGUGGCCAUGCAAGGGACCGAUCAACAAAUCCCUCCACCACUAGUUCUGAAGCAACUGCUGGUUCUCCCUUACCCAAUACUAACCCGCUUCCAAAUCCUUGGUCCUCUACGGGAACUGGAGGUGCUCAAAAUAACCCCAGAAGGUCGUUGACUACUGGUGUGGAUGCCAGACAGCAAGGACCUACUGGCUUAGGUGGGCUUGGUCUGCCAGACCUUGAAAGCAUGAUGGGUGGUAGUGCUAUGCCAGAUGCUGCUUUAUUGACCCAGCUAAUGCAAAAUCCAGCUAUCUCACAAAUGAUGCAAAGUAUGCUUUCCAACCCACAAACAUUGAAUCAGAUCCUUGGUGCUAAUACUGAGCAGCGUGGCAUGCCGGAUUUAAAUUCUCUUAGAGAAGUAAUGCAAAAUCCAGAAUUCCUUCGUUUGUUUUCUUCACCUGAGACGUUGCAGCAACUCUUGUCUUUCCAGCAAGCUCUUAUGUCUCAGCUUGGCCAGCAACAAUCAACACGGGAAUCUGGUCAAACUGGCGGAGGCACUGGACCAAUGAACAACUUGGGAUUGGAGAUGUUAUCGAGCAUGUUUGGUGGACUUGGAGCUGGUAGCCUAGCGGUUCCAAAUAGAUCAAAUGAGCCGCCAGAGCAGCUGUAUGCCUCCCAACUUUCACAGCUUCAAGAGAUGGGAUUCUUUGACACACAAGAGAACAUUAGAGCUCUUAUCGCCACUUCAGGUAAUGUUCAUGCAGCAGUUGAACGACUAUUGGGGAACUCUGGUCAGUAGCAGACAAUGUUGGCAAAUUCCUUUUGGCAAGUUCUCCUCUGUCGAUUUCCAAGACUUGGACUCGCUUAAUGCAGUGAGGCUAGUUCAAUCCAGAUGUGACAAUACCCAUCCAUGUUACAGAAUUGUCAGAGAUUCAUGAUCUCUGUACGAAGAUGGAGGUAUCAUUGAAGGGAAUCAUAUUCUUCGUGAGGCCAACCAAGUGGCUGACCAACUUGCAAAGAAUGCAGUGUCUGCGAUUAUGGAUUGUCAAGAUUAUAAUGCUGCUCCUAGUUUUGUUUCUUUUUGCUCUUACAGCUGAUGUAGCUGUUGUUUCUUUCUUGAGAGGAUUUUAGUCCUAUCCUUUGAUGUAUUUCACACACAAAAAAAAAAUGAUUUUGGUCUUCUAAA